rnacentral:rRNA from 1 species
AUUGAACGCUGGCGGCAUGCUUUACACAUGCAAGUCGAACGGUAACAGGCCUUCGGGUGCUGACGAGUGGCGAACGGGUGAGUAAUGCAUCGGAACGUACCCAGAGGUGGGGGAUAACGCAGCGAAAGCUGUGCUAAUACCGCAUGUGAUCUGAGGAUGAAAGCGGGGGACCGAGCAGCAAUGUUUGGCCUCGCGCCUUUGGAGCGGCCGAUGUCGGAUUAGCUGGUUGGUGGGGUAAAGGCCUACCAAGGCGACGAUCCGUAGCUGGUCUGAGAGGACGACCAGCCACACUGGGACUGAGACACGGCCCAGACUCCUACGGGAGGCAGCAGUGGGGAAUUUUGGACAAUGGGCGCAAGCCUGAUCCAGCAAUGCCGCGUGCGGGAAGAAGGCCUUCGGGUUGUAAACCGCUUUUGGCAGGAACGAAACGGUGUCCGCUAAUACCGGGCGCUAAUGACGGUACCUGCAGAAUAAGCACCGGCUAACUACGUG